GGGGCCGUAGCUCAGCUGGGAGAGCACCUGCUUUGCAAGCAGGGGGUCACCGGUUCGAUCCCGGUCGGCUCCACCA
rnacentral:tRNA from 2 species